rnacentral:rRNA from 1 species
UCGUACGAGAGUCUUUGACUCAAGUGGCGGACGGGUGAGUAACACGUAAGAAUUUGCCUUUAGGAGGGGGACAACAACUGGAAACGGUUGCUAAUACCCCAUAUGCUUUCGAGUGAAAUGGAUUUUUCCGCCUAGAGAGAAGCUUGCGGCUGAUUAGCUUGUUGGUGAGGUAAUGGCUCACCAAGGCGACGAUCAGUAUCUGGUUUGAGAGGACGAUCAGACACACUGGAACUGAGACACGGUCCAGACUCCUACGGGAGGCAGCAGUGGGGAAUUUUCCGCAAUGGGCGAAAGCCUGACGGAGCAAUCUCGCGUGAGGGAUGACUGCCCAUGGGUUGUAAACCUCUUUUUUCAGGGAGGAAUAAAUGACGUGUACCUGAAGAAUAAGCAUCGGCUAACUCCGUGCCAGCAGCCGCGGUAAUACGGAGGAUGCAAGUGUUAUCCGGAAUCACUGGGCGUAAAGCGUCUGUAGGUGGUUUAAUAAGUCAACUGUUAAAUCUUGAGGCUCAACUUCAAAAUCGCAGUCGAAACUAU